rnacentral:lncRNA from 1 species
GGUUAACGCACUGAGUGGCGAAGUCAGCACACUUGUUCCGAAGGUUGUAAAAAGCUUCACGUAGCUUCGUAUUCCUUUCAGUUUCGGCUGUGACCUUUUGAUGCAUCACGAUGCCCGAUCUUCACGACGUAGGAUCAAUCUUCAGAUAACUAGCUUCGAAGAAGCCAAGAUAACUUGCUGCAAGCAGCGAUAACUAGUGCAACCUGACAAAUAAAACUCGAAGCCAACCAUCGUCUUUGACCGACAACUUGAAUCGAGGAUUCGCCCAGCCACACUCUCAAAGAACCAACCAACACAGCCUACAAUCAAUCGAGGAGACCUCGAAGGGAGUAGGAGCACCACUUGGGAGCGGAUGAAGCCGCCGCUUCUGCAAUCCCGCGAAGGAAUUCACAAGAGCAAAGGGGUAGAGAUCACUUUCAAUAUUUGUUAGCACACAACUGAACAAAAGGGUUCUGUUUUUAGAUUAUCCAAAGCUGCCUUACAUCAUAGACAUAGGGGGGUAUUUAUACUAGUAACAACCAGCCUUAGAGAGGUAUAAACACGAAACAAAAGUAUUUUCACGUGCUAAUGUGAAGGAGCCUCUUCGGGAGUUCUGCAGAGCUGAUUUCCGUGUGGCUGUUUGACUUCUGCGCAGCCUUUAGUAUUUUGAUAAUAACUUCUCCUAGGAAUCUCCAAAUGAUGUGGGGCUAGAUGCGUUGGAAAGCUGACUUGAUAAGCUUUCUCACCAUGUGUAGCAUGCUUAAUGAAACUUUGUAGAAUGAGGCAGUUUAAUACGAAAACUUGGUCAUCAAACAGACUGUUGACCUUCUGACCAGUCAGCACUAAAGUAGGUCGGCUGCCUUUCUGGUAGAUUUGAUUAAGUCGGCCUUAGAAGCAUUGGAAACGAGACUUCAAGAGCUUUCCAAAAAGUACUUAUGGGCCUUCAUAGCUUUGGGAAUCAAAAGAUAUGACUUUUUCUUCUGGACGGUUCUGUUGCGCUGGACUGACUCGGACAUAGCUCUUCUUGCUGAUUCGCCCUUGAUAUGUUUUGUCCUUCCUCUUUGGUGAACCUAAGUAAUAUCAACAUACAUGACUUAGGUAGCAUAAAGUUCUCAUUAGUGUUUAAUUGAAAUUCAUAAAGUAGCACGUGCACCUCUUGCUGUAGCUUCUUAGCUCGGCUACGUGUAAUUGGUCCAUCAAAGACUUGGGUUGGUGAUGAUGUUGGUUGUACUUGAGUUGAUGUAGUAUGACUUGGGGGUUGUAACGUGUUGCUUAAUGGCGUGGUCGUAUCAUCCUCCUCCCCUUGAAAAGGAGUCGUCCUCGACUCUAAAGUGUCUUUACUCGUAUAUGGUAAGAGGUCAGCAACAUUGAACAUGUUGCUCACCCCAUAGCUUGGUGGAAGAUCUAUCUUGUAUGCAUUAUCAUUGAUCUUGGCAAGAACACAAAAUGGACCAUCCCCUCAUGGCAUAAAUUUGGAUUUGCGCUGAUCAGGAAAAUGCUCCUUGCGCAAGUGGAUCUAAACCAAGUCCCCCGUUUCAAAUACCACUUUCUUCCUAUGCUUGUUCAUGCUUGCAGCCUUGCGCACUGCUUUGAGCUCAAUUGCUUCCUUGGUCUUCUCAUGUAUCUUUUUAUGUAUGCAACACGCUUGGAAGCUUCCAUAUUGGUUCUUUCCUGCAAUGGAAGGGGCAACAAAUCUAUCGGAGCAAUAGGUUUGAACCCAUAUACAAUUUCGAAGGGGCAUAAAUUAGUUGUAGAAUGUACUGCCCUGUUAUAAGCAAACUCAACGUGUGACAAACAGUCCUUCCAAUCCUUCAAGUUCUUCUUUACCAUUGUUCGCAGCAGCAUUGACAAUGUACGAUUCACCACUUCAGUUUGUCCAUCAGUUUGAGGGUGGCAUGUGGUGGAGAACAAAAGUUUAGUCCCAAGCUUUGCCCACAAUGUUUUCCAAAAAUAGCUCACAAACUUCACAUCACGGUCAGAUACAAUGGUCUUGGGCACUCCAUGUAGCCUCAAGAUUUCUCAGAAAAACAAAUUGGCAACAUGUGAAGCAUCGUCGCUCUUGUUGCAUGGAAUAAAAUGCGCCAUUUUUGAAAAUCUAUCAACCACAAAAAAAUAGAAUCUCUCUUUUUUUGAGUCCUUGGCAGCCCUAAAAUAAAAUCCAUGCUUAUGUCUUCCCAAGGAAUUUUAGGAGCAGGUAAAGGAGUAUAUAAACCAUGAGGGUUCAGUUUUGACUUAGCUUUAUGAUAGGUGACACAACGCUCCACAAAUCUGAUGACGUCUCUCCUCAUCUUGGGCCAAUAGAAAUUAUCACUGAGCAGUUCAUAAGUCUUCUUUUGUCCAAAAUGACCUGUUAGACAUCCUCCAUGUGACUCAUGCAAUAAAAGCAAUCUAACUGAAGAAUUUGGUACACAAAGUUUGUUAGCUCUAAACAAAAAUCCAUCAUGUAUAUGAUAUUUUUCCCAACCUUUUCCAUCUUUAUAAUGAUUGUAUGGCUCUGAAAAUUCAGGAUCAUCAUUAUACAUUUCUUUCAAAUUUUCAAGACCUAAAACUUUUACCUCUCGUUGAUUCAACAACACAUUCCUUCGAGACAAGGCAUCAGCGACCACAUUGUCCUUACCUUUCUUAUAUUUCACAAUGUAUGGAAAUGUUUCGAUAAACUCAACCCAUUUGGCAUGGCGACGGUUCAGUUUGGCUUGCCCUUUCAAAUACUUCAAAGCUUCAUGAUCAGAAUGAAUAACAAACUCUUUUGGCCAUAAGUAGUGCUGCCAUGUUUCAAGCGUUCGAACCAAAGCAUACAAUUCUUUGUCAUACACAGAAUAAUUUAAUUGAGCACCUCCCAAUUUUUCACUAAAAUAUGCUACAGGUUUUCCUUGUUGCAUUAAAACUCCUCCUAUCCCAAUCCCACUAGCAUCACAUUCUACUUCAAAAGUUUUAGUGAAGUCAGGAAGAAUAAGUACAGGUGCUUCAGUCAAACGUUUCUUCAAUUCUUGAAAAGCAUCUUCUUGUGAGUUUCCCCAUUUAAAUUCAACACCUUUCUUUGUCAAUUCAUUUAAAGGGGAAGCAAUGGUACUGGAAUCUCACACAAAUCUUCUAUAAAAACCAGCAAGACCAUGAAAACUUCUUACUUGACUUACAUUCGUUGGAGCUGGUCAAUCCUUGAUUGCUUUCACCUUGGAUUCAUCCACCUCUAUUCCUUUUGCUGAAACAACAAAGCCAAGAAACACAACAUGGUCUGUGCAAAAACUGCACUUCUCAAGAUUAGCAAAUAAUUUCUCCUUUCUAAGCUCAUCUAAAACUUGUAGAAUGUGUUUCAUAUGUUCAUCAAAAGACUUGUUGUAAAUUAGAAUAUCAUCGAAGUAGACAACAACAAAUUUUCCAAAGAAAGUUCUUAAGACAUGGUUCAUUAAUAUCAUAAAAGUACUAGGAGCAUUAGUCAACCCAAAGGGCAUCACUAACCAUUCAUACAACCCAAAUUUUGUUUUAAAUACAGUCUUCCAUUCAUCUCCAGUUUUCAUUCUUAUUUGAUGGUAUCCACUUCUCAAAUCAAUUUUAGUAAAAAUUGUGGAACCACUUAAUUCAUCAAGCAUAUCAUCUAGUCGUGUAAUAGGAUGGAGAUAGCGAACGAUAAUAUUAUUUAUAGCUCUACAAUCAACACACAUCCUCCAAGAUCCAUCUUUCUUAGGUACUAAAAUCACAGGAACAGCACAAGGGCUUAAGCUUUCACGAACAAAACCUUUAUCAAGAAGUUCUUGCACUUGCCUUUGUAUUUCCUUGGUUCCUUUAGGAUUGGUUCGAUAUGGUGGACGGUUAAGAAGUGCAGCCCCUGGAAUAAGAUCGAUUUGAUGCUCAAUCCCUCGAAUUGGAGGUAGUCCCGCCGGUGUUUCCUGUGGAAACACGUCCUCGAAGUCCUGCAAAAGAUCAGCCACAACACUAGGAAGAGAUGUUAUGUCGUUAGGAGAAAUCAAAACAUCUUUGCUCACAAGCACAAAGAGCACUUGAUAUGGGUUGUUCCUCACUUCUCUCAGCUCAGAUUUUGUGGCUAGCAUAACUAGAUGUUCUCCCUCUUCCUUCUUUUUAUCUCUUGAAUUUGGUUUGUAGCACUCACUCACCGAAUUGUGGAUGGCACUCAAUUUCUUUUGCUCUUCUCCUCCUUUACUUGCUGCACUAAUUUCAGUUUUCUUUUGUAAGUGUUCAGCCAUGAUUUGUUGAGGGGUCAUAGGCUUGAGUACAAACUUUCUCCCUUUCAGAUCUAGCAUGUACUGAUUUGUUCUUUCACAAUGCUGAGAAUAUCGAUCAUAUUGCUAAGGUCUUCCUAACAGCAUGUGACACACAGACAUGGGUGCAACAUCGCACUCCACUGUGUCAACAUACUCUCCAAUCUUGAACGGAACUUUCACCUUAUAACCAAUCUUGAUAUCUCCCGAUUCAUUCAACCAUUGGACAUGAUAUGGAUGAGGGUGUCGCUGCAACUUCAAACCAAGCUUUUCAACCAUCUCACGACUUACAAGAUUAUGGCAGCUCACUCCAUCAAUGAUCACCUUUACUACUUUGUCUUGCACUUUUGCUCGCGUUUGAAAAAGAUUAUGUCGCUGUCCAAUUUCAGCUUCUUUCAUUUGAACACUCAAGAUUUGUGUAACCACAAGAGUAGUACCAUGCUCAAAUUCACAUCCAGUAUGUUCCUCAAUUUUAUGAGUGUCAUCUACAUUUCCUGCUUUAGAUUCCUCUUCACUAGCUGAUGUAUAAUCUCCAUCAUCAUUCACAAGGAUCACACGAUUAUUUGAACACUCCUUUAUGACUGACCACGACCUCCACACUUGAAGCACUGAAUACCACUACUCUUGGCUAUUGAACCCACUGAUGUUGAAGUGGAUGCUGCUGGUUUAUAACCUGUGCUUGGAGCAGCAUCGUUCUUUCCACUAGAAUUGCCUUGAAUAUUGGUUCACAAGCGUCCAGUUGAACCUUUUGUCGCUGAGGAUGCAACAGUAAACCUUGAGAUUGAUUUGCUUCCUCCAGUCAUGGUUCGUGCACCAUAUGACAAGGGCUUGCUACUCUUAGAAUCUUGUUGCAGCUGGCGUUCAGCUUUGGUGGCUUGAUGUACCAAAUCAAUAAGACUUUGGUACGGCUGAAACUCAACAAUACGCUGAAUGCUGCGGUGUAACCCAGCCAUGAAACAUGCAAUGGUCUGCUCUUCGUCUUCAUACACAUUGGCUCUAAUCAUGGCCUUCUCCAUCUCCUUAUAAUACUCCUCAAUAGAGAAACUUCUCCAUCUCCUUAUAAUACUCCUCAAUUUAUUAAUCAUGGCCUUCUCCAUCUCCUUAUAAUGCUUCGGCACAAAAUGAAUUCUCAUUUCUCACUUCAUCUCUUGCCAAGUAACAAUAGGGUCCUCUCCAUCUUCUUCACGAUCACGAAGAAGUUGCUCCCACCAAAUCAGAGCAUAUCCUUCAAACUCAAGAGAUGCCAUUGCAAGUUUCUUCUCCUCUGAAUAAUUAUGUAGGCAGAAGAUUUUCUCCACCUUCAAUUCCCAUGUGAAAUAAUCUUCAGGAUCAGAUCUACCAUCAAAUUUUGGAAUGGUAAACUUAAGUUUCCCAAAUCUCUCUUCUUGGUUGACUCCUCUAUGACAACGACGACCAUAGCGAUGUUGGGACAGAUCAUCAUCAUCCCCCAAUUCAGAUUCUUCAUUGUCAUCAUUUCCUCGAUUCCGCCCUCUUCCUCAACCACAUGCAGCACCUUGAUUCCUCCUCCCAUGUUCACUUGCUCUUCUAGAAUAAUUUCCUUCACCUUCAUCCCCAUCUUCAUCAUGGUUUCUUGCACCAUCAGGGAGUCGACGACGACCUCUGAUUUCAGCCAUAAGUGUCUGAAGAUCUUGUGCCAACCGAUCUUGCUUGUCUUCUAUGCUUUAUUUGAGCUCAUUGAAUUGUAUCAUGGUGACACAUUCUUCAAUCUCAGCAUUGGGAUCCAUCUUCCUGCGAAAUUAGUGGCGACAAGGCAACAAAUAUAGGUGGAAUAUGAAGCUAUAUAGAAUCUCACAACCUCACCACUCUUACCAACCAAAGCUCUUAUGAGGUCCUUGCGGGUUGCAAGAAAAUGUGUGGUGGUAACAAGAAAGUGGUGGUUAAGCGAAUACAAGACCAGAGUACCAAUUACGAUGGCUUAUAUGUGGAGCUUGGUGGGGAAUAAUAAACAAGGGAUGCAAUCUGAAUCCUAGUUGUUGUAAAGUUAUAUAACCAUCCAACUAGAAGUUUCCUGCCUAGUGCUGACCACAAGAUACGAGUGAUGUAAAUAGAUCAAACACACGCGCAAGAAAUUUCAGAUUUGAUGCAAACAAUGAGUAUGAUUGGAAUGCAAGUGUUGCAAUCAGAUCCAACCAAAAUUUUGCACCAAAUGACAAUAGCAAACUGGUUGAACAACUUGAUAAAACUUUUAGUACUUGACUUUCAGCACUUGUGCACAUAAACAAACUGAUUGUUCUACUUUUCUUUCACAACUUUUUUCAACACUUUUUUUAUGCCCUCUUUCUUCUCUCUUUUUUUGAUACCUUUUUUUAUAGAACUAAACACAGAGAUCAGAUAUGAUAUUGCACACUUUAUAAUAACUUACAAGGAACUCAACCAGUAGCUAUAGUAGAGAGGAUCAAAGUUAACACGAAGCAAAUGAUGAGUUUUUUUUUCAGAUUUUUCUUUUUGUGGAUAUUUUUAGAUAUAUAUAUAUAUAAAUAUAAGAGGUUCAAAGGGAACACAAAGGUUAGAGUGACCAGCAACUAAAAAAAGACUCUAAGGACUGAAACUUAACAGAACUCGCUAGAACGACAGAUUGAAACAAAGGGCUAUGGCAAAAAUAUUUUAUGGCUUUUUGGUGGAUAGGAUGAACACAAAAUAGAUGUAGCUAGGGGUAAAGAGUCCUACUGUGGCAACUGAGGCUUUGAUACCAGAUGAUGCGUCACGAUACCCGAUCUUCACGAUGUAGGAUCAAUCUUCAGAUAACUAGCUUCGAAGAAGCCAAGAUAACUUGCUGCAAGCAGCGAUAACUAGUGCAACCUGACAAAUAAAACUCGAAGCCGACCACCGUCUUUGACCGGCAACCUGAAUCGAGCAUUCACCCAACCACACUCUCAAAGAACCAACCAACACAACCUACAAUCAAUCGAGGAGACCUCGAAGGGAGUAGGAGC